GACGGAAGGGGCAAGCGCUGAGCCUCUAUACUAGGCCUAAAACGUGGGUAGGCUGUUUUCUUUUCUAUUACUGUCUCCUAAGUCUUUAGGCUCUAUUUUAGAAAAAGAGAACUGGAGUAGUCUUAAGGGCAGAGGAACGAUUCAAGAACCGGUAGAAUGGGAGAAUAUGAAUCUGAACACCAAACGCGAAAGCAUUUGCCUAUAGAUACACUAACGCCAAGCUACGGAAGUGCGAGGAUCAAAUGGG
rnacentral:rRNA from 1 species